UACGGGGGGAGCAAGCGUUGUUCGGAUUUACUGGGCGUAAAGGGCGCGUAGGCGGCACUGCAAGUCAGUUGUGAAAUCUCCGGGCUUAACCCGGAAAGGUCAACUGAUACUGCAGGGCUAGAGUGCAGAAGGGGCAACUGGAAUUCUCGGUGUAGCGGUGAAAUGCGUAGAUAUCAGGAGGAACACCGGUGGUGUAGACGGCUUUCUGGACCGUAACUGACGCUGAGACACGAAAGCGUGGGUAGCAAACAGG
rnacentral:rRNA from 1 species